rnacentral:rRNA from 1 species
CCAGGUUGAUUCUGCCAGUGCCAUGUGCUUGUCUCAAAGAUUGAGCCAUCUACGUGUAAGUACAUGCGUCUGGUACAGUGACACUGCAAAUGGCUCAUGGCAUUAGUGAUGGUUUCUUUGAUGGCUCAAUCUGUUACUUGGAAAACUGUGGUAAAUCUACAGAAAAUACAUGCCGACAAACGCUGACCUCCCGAGGUGCGUGCAUUUAUCAGACCAAGACCAAUCCAGCCUCACACGGCCGAUUUGGUGACUCAAGGUAAGCUUAGUCAGUGCGCACAUCCCUGUGACUGCAACAAUACAUUCUUAUGUCUGCCCUAUCCUCUUCCAGUGGUACUGCCUGUGCCUUCCAUGGUGAUCACAGGUAAGGAGGAGACAGGAUUUCAGAUUCCAGAGCGGGGGCCUGAGAAAUAGUUACAACAUCCAAGGAAGUAGCAGGCACACAAAUUACCACAUUAAUGAUACAGGACUCUUAUGAGGCCCUUUAAUUUGCAUGUAUACACUUUAAAUCAUUUAACAAGGAUUCAUUGGAGGGCAUGUCCAGCAGCCACAGUAAUUCCAGCUCCAAUAGCAUAUGGUAAAGUUGCUGCACUUAAAAAGCUUCUAGUUGGAUCUUGUUAUCAAGCUGGCAGUCCGGCGCGACACACGCUAAUGCCUAUCCCAGCCCCUGCCUCUAGGUGCCCCCUUGAUGCUCUUGACUUAGUGUCCUGGGGGUCCGAAGCAUUUACUUUGAAAACAGAGUGUUCAAAGCUGGCCUGUCACCUGGGUGCUUCAGCUAGGAAUGAUGGAAUCGGAUUCCAGUUCCAUUUUGUUUAUUUUCUGAAAUGGGGGCCAUGAUUAUGAGGUAUUGCUGGGUUCUUUUGUAUGAUGCUGUUAAAGGUGAUAUUCUUGGACCUUGUUGAUGUCACAAGCAAUCCGGCAGUUUUUCUCCCAUGACCCGCUGAGCAGCUUCCAGGAAUCCAAACUCAAUGGUCUCCAGGGCAGUGUGGUUGCAAUGAAAGGAAUUGAUUGAAGGGAACCACAUGGAGUGGAACCUGCUGCUUAAUUUGAUGCAACAUGGGAAACCUCACCCGGAAGGAAUUGCCAGAUUGAUAGCUCUUUCUUGAUUCUGUGGGGUGUGGUGCAUGACCGUUCUAAGUUGGUGGAGUGACUGAUGACGAACAAGACUCCUCUAUGCUAACUAGUUAUGUGAACCCCAGCUGUGGGCAUUCAAAUUAUUAGAGGGACAAUUUGUGUUCAGCCACAUGACAUUGAGCAAUAAAAGGUCUGUGAUACUCUUAUACGUCCGGGGAUGCACAUGUGAUACAUUGAACAGAUCAGUGUAUAUAUAAUCUUCACCCACAAGUGCAGGUAACAGAUGAACCCCGUUCGGGAAAGGGAUUGGGGAUUGAAAUAAUUUCCCAUGAAUGAGGAAUUAACCAUAAGUAUGAAUCAUUGCCUCACGUUAAUUCCCUGCACUUUGUACACAUAACCCAUUGCUUCUACCGAUUGGAUGUUUAUGCAAGGUCCUCGGAUCGGCCCAACAACGCCUCUGACAGAGCAGCAAGAAGCCAAUCAAACUUAAAUAUCUAUAGGAACUAAGAGUCGUAACAAGUUUUCUGUAGGUGAACCUUCAGAAG